rnacentral:rRNA from 1 species
ACGCACGCUGGCGGCGUGCUUCACCCAUGCCAGUCGCACGGAAAGGCCCCAGCUUGCUGGGGUACUCGAGUGGCGAACGGGUGAGUAACACGUGGGUGAUCUGCCCUGCACUCUGGGAUAAGCCUGGGAAACUGGGUCUAAUACCGGAUAGGACCGUGCUCUAGUGUGUGCGGUGGAAAGUUUUUCGGUGCAGGAUGAGCCCGCGGCCUAUCAGCUUGUUGGUGGGGUAAUGGCCUACCAAGGCGGCGACGGGUCGCCGGCCUGAGAGGGUGUACGGCCACAUUGGGACUGAGACACGGCGCAGACUCCUACGGGAGGCAGCAGUGGGGAAUAUUGCACAAUGGGCGCAAGCCUGAUGCAGCGACGCCGCGUGGGGGAUGACGGCCUUCGGGUUGUAAACCCCUUUCGGCAGGGACGAAGCUUUUGUGACGGUACCUGAAGAAGAAGCACCGGCUAACUACGUG